rnacentral:rRNA from 1 species
AUUGAACGCUGGCGGCAUGCCUUACACAUGCAAGUCGAACGACAGCACGGGAGCAAUCCUGGUGGCGAGUGGCGAACGGGUGAGUAAUAUAUCGGAACGUGCCCGGUCGUGGGGAUAACGUAGCGAAAGCUACGCUAAUACCGCAUACGAUCUACGGAUGAAAGCGGGGGAUCGCAAGACCUCGCGCGAUUGGAGCGGCCGAUAUCAGAUUAGGUAGUUGGUGAGGUAAAGGCUCACCAAGCCGACGAUCUGUAGCUGGUCUGAGAGGACGACCAGCCACACUGGAACUGAGACACGGUCCAGACUCCUACGGGAGGCAGCAGUGGGGAAUUUUGGACAAUGGACGCAAGUCUGAUCCAGCCAUUCCGCGUGCAGGAUGAAGGCCCUCGGGUUGUAAACUGCUUUUGUACGGAACGAAAAGGUUUCUAUUAAUACUAGGAGCUCAUGACGGUACCGUAAGAAUAAGCACCGGCUAACUACGUGCCAG